GAUGAACGCUAGCGGCAGGCCUGAUACAUGCAAGUCGGACGGGAUUUGGGAGCUUGCUCCUAACGAGAGUGGCGCACGGGUGCGUAACACGUAUGUAACCUACCUUAGUCAGGGGUAUAGCCUCCCGAAAGAGAGAUUAAGACCGCAUAACAUUAUUGAGAGGCAUCAUUUAAUAAUCACAUACUUAUAGGACUAUGAUGGGCAUGCGGAACAUUAGGUAGUUGGUAGGGUAACGGCCUACCAAGGCUACGAGGUUUAGGGGAUCUGAGAGGAUGGCCCCCCACACUGGUACUGAGACCCGGACCAGACUCCUACGGGAGGCAGCAGGAAGGAAUAUUGGUCAAUGGGCGGAAGCCUGAACCAGCCAUGCCGCGUGCAGGAAGACGGCCCUACGGGUUGUAAACUGCUUUUAUACGGGAAUAAACCUACUUACGUGUAAGUAGCUGAAUGUACUGUAAGAAUAAGGAUCGGCUAACUCCGUGCCAGCCGCCGCCGUAA
rnacentral:rRNA from 1 species